rnacentral:rRNA from 1 species
GAUGAACGCUGGCGGCGUGCCUAACACAUGCAAGUCGAGCGAUUUACUUCGGUAAAGAGCGGCGGACGGGUGAGUAACGCGUGGGUAACCUGCCCUGUACACACGGAUAACAUACCGAAAGGUAUGCUAAUACGAGAUAAAAUACUUUUAUCGCAUGGUAGAAGUAUCAAAGCUUUUGCGGUACAGGAUGGACCCGCGUCUGAUUAGCUAGUUGGUAAGGUAACGGCUUACCAAGGCGACGAUCAGUAGCCGACCUGAGAGGGUGAUCGGCCACAUUGGAACUGAGACACGGUCCAAACUCCUACGGGAGGCAGCAGUGGGGAAUAUUGCACAAUGGGCGAAAGCCUGAUGCAGCAACGCCGCGUGAGCGAUGAAGGCCUUCGGGUCGUAAAGCUCUGUCCUCAAGGAAGAUAAUGACGGUACUUGAGGAGGAAGCCCCGGCUAACUACGUGCCAGCAGCCGCGGUAAUACGUAGGGGGCUAGCGUUAUCCGGAAUUACUGGGCGUAAAGGGUGCGUAGGUGGUUUCUUAAGUCAGAGGUGAAAGGCUACGGCUCAACCGUAGUAAGCCUUUGAAACUGGGAAACUUGAGUGCAGGAGAGGAGAGUGGAAUUCCUAGUGUAGCGGUGAAAUGCGUAGAUAUUAGGAGGAACACCAGUUGCGAAGGCGGCUCUCUGGACUGUAACUGACACUGAGGCACGAAAGCGUGGGGAGCAAACAGGAUUAGAUACCCUGGUAGUCCACGCCGUAAACGAUGAGUACUAGCUGUCGGAGGUUACCCCCUUCGGUGGCGCAGCUAACGCAUUAAGUACUCCGCCUGGGAAGUACGCUCGCAAGAGUGAAACUCAAAGGAAUUGACGGGGACCCGCACAAGUAGCGGAGCAUGUGGUUUAAUUCGAAGCAACGCGAAGAACCUUACCUAAGCUUGACAUCCUUUUGACCGAUGCCUAAUCGCAUCUUUCCCUUCGGGGACAGAAGUGACAGGUGGUGCAUGGUUGUCGUCAGCUCGUGUCGUGAGAUGUUGGGUUAAGUCCCGCAACGAGCGCAACCCUUGCCUUUAGUUGCCAGCAUUAAGUUGGGCACUCUAGAGGGACUGCCAGGGAUAACCUGGAGGAAGGUGGGGAUGACGUCAAAUCAUCAUGCCCCUUAUGCUUAGGGCUACACACGUGCUACAAUGGGUGGUACAGAGGGCAGCCAAGUCGUGAGGCGGAGCUAAUCCCUUAAAGCCAUUCUCAGUUCGGAUUGUAGGCUGAAACUCGCCUACAUGAAGCUGGAGUUACUAGUAAUCGCAGAUCAGAAUGCUGCGGUGAAUGCGUUCCCGGGUCUUGUACACACCGCCCGUCACACCACGGAAGUUGGGGGCGCCCGAAGCCACUUAGCUAACCCUUUUGGGAAGCGAGUGUCGAAGGUGAAAUCAAUAACUGGGGUGAAGUCGUAACAAGGUAGCCGUAUCGGAAGGUGCGGCUGGAUCACCUCCUUUCUAAGGGGAAUUACCUACUGUUUAAUUUUGAGGGUUUAUUAAAAACUUUCAUAAAGAGGGCGAAGCCCAAAAUAAGUACUUUGAGCACCUAGGCACGAACGAAUGUGAGUGGAAGGUAGCGAAGUGCGUUAGCACUUUGAAAACUGCAUAACAUUUAGUGAUAUGACAUCAUUUUAAACAUAUAUAGACAAGAAAAGUCUUUAAAAUUACAACUCUAAUAACUGGUCAAGUUAUUAAGGGUGCAGGGCGGAUGCCUUGGCACUAGGAGCCGAUGAAGGACGUGAUAAGCUGCGAUAAGCUUUGGGGAGUUGCACGUAAACUUUGAUCCGAAGAUUUCCGAAUGAGGAAACUCACUUAGAGUAAUGUCUAAGUAUCGUUAAGUGAAUACAUAGCUUAGCGAGGGGAACCCGGGGAACUGAAACAUCUAAGUACCCGGAGGAAGAGAAAGAAAUUCGAUUCCGUAAGUAGCGGCGAGCGAACGCGGAACAGGCCAAACCAAUGAAGUUUACUUCGUUGGGGUUGCGGACAUACAACAUGGAUGCAAUAUCGUAAAUGAAGAGAGUUGGAAAGCUCCGCCAUAGAAGGUAAUAGCCCUGUAGUUGAAACGAGAAAGCUACUAGUAUGAUCCAGAGUACCACGGGACACGUGAAACCCUGUGGGAAGCAGGAGGGACCAUCCUCCAAGCCUAAAUACUACCUAGUGACCGAUAGCGCAU